rnacentral:tRNA from 1 species
UGGGCGGUCGCCAAGCGGUAAGGCCCCGGGCUUUGAAUCCGGUAUCGAAGGUUCGAAUCCUUCCCGCCCAG